CCUACGGGAGGCAGCAGUGGGGAAUAUUGGGCAAUGGACGCAAGUCUGACCCAGCAACGCCGCGUGAAGGAAGAAGGCUUUCGGGUUGUAAACUUCUUUUAAGGGGGAAGAGCAGAAGACGGUACCCCUUGAAUAAGCUACGGCUAACGACGUGACAGCAGCCGCGGUAAUACGUAGGUGGCAAGCGUUGUCCGGAUUUAGUGGGUGUAAAGGGCGUGCAGGCGGGGAGACAAGUCAGAUGUGAAAUCCACGGGCUCAACCCGUGAACUGCAUUGGAAACUGGUUCCCGUGAGUGUCGGAGAGGUAAGCGGAAUUCCUUGUGUAGCGGUGAAAUGCGUAGAUAUAAGGAAGAACACCAGUGGCGAAGGCGGAUGACUGGACUAUAACUGACGGUGAGGCGCGAAAGCGUGGGGAGCAAACAGGAUUAGAUACCCGAGUAGUC
rnacentral:rRNA from 1 species